rnacentral:rRNA from 1 species
UUCCUAAAACAUAGUCUUAAUGCACCAUAUCCCAUUAGAACUCUGCAGUUAAGCGUGCUCGAGAUAGAUUAGUACUAGGAUGGGUGACCACUCGGGAAGUCCUAGUAUUUUACAUGC